rnacentral:lncRNA from 1 species
CGCUAAUUGACAAAAUACAUCCACAUCAACGCAUACCAAACAUUGCACACUAGUUAUUACGUGUGUGCAUUACAAAAAACAUUCAAAGCACUAAAGUGGAUUAAGCUUUCCAAAUACAUACUUGUUAAUACAUACUAACGCCAUAAGUCAAGUACAGUCUCUAAGGUAGUGGAGGCGGAUCACGACCAAGCUUGUCAAACACCAAAGCAAGCAUGUAUGCGGUACUCGUUACAUUCAUAAAUAACUUAGCCAAACCAUCGUCGGAUCAAAAAGCUUUCAUGACUUACAUGAUGUCGUCCAUGUCUAGGUUCAUGGCUUCUAACUUCUCUAGAAUCAACUGCCAGUUGACAUGAUUCAGUGUAUCUAACGCAGUUUACAUUUCCAUAGCUUGAGCAAUUUUGGAGAUGAUUUGACAAUCUUCGAUAGGGCGAUAGUACUCUCAUCCACAGAUUGUGUACGUCGACGCUUGACUUUGUUGGUCCCUUCUUCAACGGUACGCUUACGACCAAGAACUGGGCUAGGAUCCAUCUCCACAUUUUCCAUAUCUACCUCAUUCACAUUUUCGUCGGUUACUACAUAAAAUAUUUAGUAACUUGUCAGAAGUUUAUACAUGAAUACAAUGAAUGGAUC